UACGUAGGGGGCGAGCGUUGUCCGGAAUCAUUGGGCGUAAAGAGCUCGUAGGCGGUUCAGUAAGUCAGGUGUGAAAGCUCCGAGCUCAACUCGGAGAGGCCACCUGAUACUGCUGUGACUAGAAUCCAGGUAGGGGAGUGUGGAACUCCUGGUGUAGCGGUGAAAUGCGCAGAUAUCAGGAAGAACACCAGCGGCGAAGGCGGCACUCUGGGCUGGAAGUUGACGACUGAGGAGCGAAAGUGUGGGUAG
rnacentral:rRNA from 1 species